CCCGCACAAGCGGUGGAGCAUGUGGUUUAAUUCGAUGAUACGCGAGGAACCUUACCUGGGCUCAAAUGUAUGUUGACGUAUUCUGAAAGGGAUACUUCUUCGGACAAUAUACAAGGUGCUGCAUGGUUGUCGUCAGCUCGUGUCGUGAGAUGUUGGGUUAAGUCCCGCAACGAGCGCAACCCUUGCCUUUAGUUGCCAGCAGUUCGGCUGGGCACUCUAAAGGGACUGCCGGUGUUAAACCGGAGGAAGGUGGGGAUGACGUCAAGUCCUCAUGGCCUUUAUGACCAGGGCUACACACGUACUACAAUGGCCGAUACAAAGGGCAGCGACACUGCGAGGUGAAGCCAAUCCCGUAAAAUCGGUCUCAGUCCGGAUUGGAGUCUGCAACUCGACUCCAUGAAGUUGGAAUCGCUAGUAAUCGUGGAUCAGCAUGCCACGGUGAAUACGUUCCCGGGCCUU
rnacentral:rRNA from 1 species